rnacentral:rRNA from 1 species
CCCCUUCGGGGGACAAGUAGAGUGGCGCACGGGUGAGUAACACGUAGGUAAUCUACCUUCGGGUGGGGAAUAACCCCGGGAAACCGGGGCUAAUACCGCAUAAUGCAGCGGCACCUAAUGGUGACAGUUGUUAAAGCGGGGGAUCGCAAGAUCUCGCGCCUGAAGAGGAGCCUGCGGCGGAUUAGCUAGUUGGCAGGGUAACGGCCUACCAAGGCGACGAUCCGUAGCCGGCCUGAGAGGGCGGUCGGCCACACUGACACUGACAUACGGGUCAGACUCCUACGGGAGGCAGCAGUCGGGAAUUUUGGGCAAUGGGCGAAAGCCUGACCCAGCAACGCCGCGUGAAGGAUGAAAUCCCUCGGGAUGUAAACUUCGCAAGAACGGGAAGAAUAAGUUUGUGCUAACACCACAAGCGAUGACGGUACUGUUUGUAAGCUCCGGCUAACUCCGUGCCAGCAGCCGCGGUAAUACGGGGGGAGCAAGCGUUGUUCGGAUUUACUGGGCGUAAAGGGCGCGUAGGCGGCCUCCGCAAGUCAGUUGUGAAAUCUCCGAGCUUAACUCGGAAAGGUCAACUGAUACUGCGGGGCUAGAGUGCGGAAGGGGCAACUGGAAUUCUUGGUGUAGCGGUGAAAUGCGUAGAUAUCAAGAGGAACACCUGCGGCGAAGGCGGGUUGCUGGGCCGACACUGACGCUGAGGCGCGAAAGCUAGGGGAGCGAACGGGAUUAGAUACCCCGGUAGUCCUAGCCUUAAACGAUGAAUGCUUGGUGUCUGGGGUUAUAUAG